rnacentral:rRNA from 1 species
AGGACGAACGCUGGCGGCGUGCUUAACACAUGCAAGUCGAGCGGAAAGGCCCUUCGGGGUACUCGAGCGGCGAACGGGUGAGUAACACGUGAGUAAUCUGCCCCUAGCUCUGGGAUAGCUCCGGGAAACCGGGAUUAAUACCGGAUACGACCACCUUAGACAUCUUUUGUGGUGGAAAGAAUUUCGGCUAGGGAUGGGCCCGCGGCCUAUCAGCUUGUUGGUGGGGUAAUGGCCUACCAAGGCGACGACGGGUAGCCGGCCUGAGAGGGCGACCGGCCACACUGGGACUGAGACACGGCCCAGACUCCUACGGGAGGCAGCAGUGGGGAAUAUUGCACAAUGGGCGCAAGCCUGAUGCAGCGACGCCGCGUGAGGGAUGACUGCCUUCGGGUUGUAAACCUCUUUCAGCAGGGACGAAGCGAAAGUGACGGUACCUGCAGAGAAGCACCGGCCAACUACGCGCCAGCAGCCGC